rnacentral:rRNA from 1 species
UACGGGGGGGGCAAGCGUUGUUCGGAAUUACUGGGCGUAAAGGGCUCGUAGGGGGCCAACUAAGUCAGACGUGAAAUCCCUCGGCUUAACCGGGGAACUGCGUCUGAUACUGGUUGGCUUGAGUUUGGGAGAGGGAUGCGGAAUUCCAGGUGUAGCGGUGAAAUGCGUAGAUAUCUGGAGGAACACCGGUGGCGAAGGCGGCAUCCUGGACCAACACUGACGCUGAGGAGCGAAAGCCAGGGGAGCAAACGGG